GAUGAACGCUGGCGGCGUGCCUAAUACAUGCAAGUCGAGCGAACAGACGAGGAGCUUGCUCCUCUGACGUUAGCGGCGGACGGGUGAGUAACACGUGGAUAACCUACCUAUAAGACUGGGAUAACUUCGGGAAACCGGAGCUAAUACCGGAUAAUAUAUUGAACCGCAUGGUUCAAUAGUGAAAGACGGUUUUGCUGUCACUUAUAGAUGGAUCCGCGCCGCAUUAGCUAGUUGGUAAGGUAACGGCUUACCAAGGCAACGAUGCGUAGCCGAACUGAGAGGGUGAUAGGCGACAUGGGAACGGAGACAGGGACCAGACGCCUAAGGGAGGCAGCAGUAGGGAAUCGUCCGCAGCGGGCGAAAGCCUGACGGAGCAACGCCGCGUGAGUGAUGAAGGUCUUCGGAGCGUAAAACUCUGUUAUGAGGGAAGAACAAAUGUGUAAGGAACUAUGCACGUAUUGACGGUACCUAAUCAGAAAGCCGCGGCUAACUACGUG
rnacentral:rRNA from 1 species